rnacentral:miRNA from 1 species
CUAGGGUGAGGCAUGGCAUG